rnacentral:lncRNA from 1 species
GUUCAUUAUCUCCUAAUUUUUCAUCCAGGAAUUGAUGAAGAAUCACCUACUGCCUCUCCCACACACUGUUUAUUCUUUCAUUUGAUGAUAUCUGUUAAGUGCCCUGAGAUAUGUAACCUCCACUUCCCUCCCAUAUAAGUGAGAUUUCACGUUGAUUACUUCCUUGGCUUUCCUCAUCCCUUAUCCACAUAGCAUGUGUUCAAAAUAAUGAAUAUUAAUUUAAUGUUAAUAGAUAUGUGCUUUCCUGAAUUGUGAGGAUUAAAUGAAAUCAUGUAUAUAGGGAGGAAAAUCCAUUAGAAACCUCAAAAGCAGUUAUGUUUAUUUUUGCUAUUGUCACAUUGUUAGAGUCAGAAUUCUUUUAGCUGCAAGUGACAAAACCAACUCAAACUGGCUUAAGGACUUUAUUGGUUGAUGCAAAAAGCCUCGGGUUAGGUCUUGCCAUUUAAGGUAGGGCUGGAUCCAUCAAUCCGGGUUACCAGGAUCUGUUUUCUAGUUGUGGCUUCAUUUUCAGACAAGUUGUUUCCAUAUGAUAGCCUCAUAGAAGGUACUACCAGCUUAGUCCUAGCAAGAAAAAAGAGUACUUACUCUUCAAUAUUUGCAGCAGAAGUCCCAGGUCUGUUCUUAUGAGGGCAGUUUGAGUCACUUGCUCUUCUCUGAACGUGGAGAAGGCACUGUUUAGAUGAUGGAGGUUGGAUUCAGGUGCAUCCCCUGGAAUGGGGUUUGGCAUUAGCUUCACGUGGUCUAGAAUAAAGGGGUUCUCCAAAGGAAAAUUAGGGUAGGAAUGCUGAGUAAGCAGAACAAACAGAUGUCUACUUUAGUCCUUCCCAAAGGGUGAGCUGCAAUACAUUGCAGACUAUCAGAAUGGUGAUGAACACGGAUGCAGUAGCCAAGAAAAUAGAUGUGUGUUUGUCGUGGUCUUUUUCAGUCUUCAAGAUCUCAGUUAAACAUGAAGUCAACCACUCACUAUGAUGUUAUUUGAGGUUUAGCUUUGAAGUGGAAAUGUACCACAAAUAGUAGAGCCAGAUAAAUACAAAUAAAUAAUUUUAACAGUCCAUUCUAAAAGAUUUCUUUGGUAAUAUUCUGUUGGAAUUGAUUUCUAUCUUUUCAUUUGUUAGGUUCCUGGAAAGUGAAAAUUUCAUUUCUUUGUGGACAGGUACCUAAAAUGUCUCAUUAUUCAUCAAUUAAUGAAAAACAAAUGAAAAUUUGAGAGAGAUAUUCUGAAGAAUAAAAGGAUCAAGUUGGGUCAUUUCUAAAAUGUAAGAUUAUAAGGUUUAACUUGCUAAGACUUUUGAGGGGUUGAAUUAUUGGUAAAUUAUUAUAGAACCACUUAUCUGAGGCUUUUAAAAGUGAUGUGUUACAGAGAUUUAGGGAACUGCAAGAUUGCAGAUAAAGAAUUUAUACUGUCAACUGUUCUAUACUUUACCUUCUGCUUUAAAUGCGGCCUUAUAUUUUGAAGUCAAACAUUUAUUUUCUCUCACUGCGUUCUGAAUUUCCUACCACAGUGCAUUUUGAGAAAUGAAUAUAACAGCAGUCUUCAUAGAUGCCAUAUUCAUGGCAACUCUGUCCCCCGCCAACACCACACCCUGGAAAAAAACCAACUUUCUAUUGUUGGAAUGAGGUAACAUUUUCAGGAAAAGGGAACCAUUUUCUCACAGGAUAUAGAACAAAUUCAACCUUUUAUUAAAUCAAAAUGGAUUCUCUAAUGUUUAUACAUAUCAUAUAGGAUUUCAUCUCUUUCAAUCUUGGUUCAAAGGCCCAGACAGUACCAUUCCCUAGUAUUUAGUCCAUUUGCUCAUAAAGCAGAAGAGAAAAGCUACUUUGUUCCGAAGGGUGUUAGAUUUAGGAUUCCAAGGUUAUUUCAAAUUAAUGCCUGGAACUAGACUAUAAAAUGCAGGAAAGAUUCUAAGUUGUUCAAAGAUGAAAUAUCUUAACUUUCACCAAAAACUCUGUCUUCUGGGUAUUUUUUGUUUUUCUGCCUUUCCAGAUUUAUU